rnacentral:rRNA from 1 species
UACACUCCUGCGGGAGGCAGCAGUGGGGAAUUUUGGACAAUGGGCGAAAGCCUGAUCCAGCAAUGCCGCGUGAGUGAAGAAGGCCUUCGGGUUGUAAAGCUCUUUUGUCAGGGAAGAAACGGUGAAAGCUAAUAUCUUUUGCUAAUGACGGUACCUGAAGAAUAAGCACCGGCUAACUACGUGCCAGCAGCCGCGGUAAUACGUAGGGUGCAAGCGUUAAUCGGAAUUACUGGGCGUAAAGCGUGCGCAGGCGGUUUUGUAAGUCUGAUGUGAAAUCCCCGGGCUCAACCUGGGAAUUGCAUUGGAGACUGCAAGGCUAGAAUCUGGCAGAGGGGGGUAGAAUUCCACGUGUAGCAGUGAAAUGCGUAGAUAUGUGGAGGAACACCGAUGGCGAAGGCAGCCCCCUGGGUCAAGAUUGACGCUCAUGCACGAAAGCGUGGGGAGCAAACAGGAUUAGAAACCCCUGUAGUCC